AUGAGUGUUUUAUUUAUAGAAAACACACUUGCAUUAGGAGUCAUCCCAGAUGGCGCCUCCUCCCAAAAUUAUGAAGCAUGUGCCAUCUCACAUAGCAUAAAAGAAGUGUAUGUGUCAAAUGAGAUGGGGCUUGUGGCCAAAGUUCCAAAGCAUGCGUCAUUUGAGUUGGCGCCUCCAUAUAAAUCAAUUCUGAAAUAUGAUUAUUUGCAUAAUUUUCUCUGA